UGGAUCCAGAACUUUGAUCCUGGCUCAGGACGAACGCUGGCGGCGUGCUUAACACAUGCAAGUCGAACGGAGAACUUAUUUCGGUAAGUUCUUAGUGGCGAACGGGUGAGUAACGCGUGGGCAACCUGCCCUCCAGUUGGGGACAACAUUCCGAAAGGGAUGCUAAUACCGAAUGUGCUCCCUCCUCCGCAUGGAGGAGGGAGGAAAGAUGGCCUCUGCUUGCAAGCUAUCGCUGGAAGAUGGGCCCGCGUCUGAUUAGCUAGUUGGUGGGGUAACGGCUCACCAAGGCGAUGAUCAGUAGCCGGUCUGAGAGGAUGAACGGCCACAUUGGGACUGAGACACGGCCCAAACUCCUACGGGAGGCAGCAGUGGGGAAUCUUCCGCAAUGGACGAAAGUCUGACGGAGCAACGCCGCGUGAGUGAUGAAGGUCUUCGGAUUGUAAAACUCUGUUGUUAGGGACGAAAGCACCGUGUUCGAACAGGUCAUGGUGUUGACGGUACCUAACGAGGAAGCCACGGCUAACUACGUGCCAGCAGCCGCGGUAAUACGUAGGUGGCAAGCGUUGUCCGGAAUUAUUGGGCGUAAAGAGCAUGUAGGCGGGCUUUUAAGUCUGACGUGAAAAUGCGGGGCUUAACCCCGUAUGGCGUUGGAUACUGGAAGUCUUGAGUGCAGGAGAGGAAAGGGGAAUUCCCAGUGUAGCGGUGAAAUGCGUAGAUAUUGGGAGGAACACCAGUGGCGAAGGCGCCUUUCUGGACUGUGUCUGACGCUGAGAUGCGAAAGCCAGGGUAGCAAACGGGAUUAGAUACCCCGGUAGUCCUGGCCGUAAACGAUGGAUACUAGGUGUAGGAGGUAUCGACCCCUUCUGUGCCGGAGUUAACGCAAUAAGUAUCCCGCCUGGGGACUACGAUCGCAAGAUUGCAACU
rnacentral:rRNA from 2 species